UGCCUUUUGUGUUACCCAUUCUUUGUACUUACCCUAAAGAAUGUGGCGUCAGCAAAGGCAUACAAUAAAACUGUUGGUUUGGCCUUUACAAGGUGACUUCUGUGUCAUUCUAUCUAAAGCUCGAACCAAUUACAACC